rnacentral:rRNA from 1 species
GACAGAGGCCUCGAGCGUUAAUCGGAAUCACUGGGCUUAAAGGGUGCGUAGGCGGCUCAGAAAGUGUCCUGUGAAAUCCCACGGCUCAACCGUGGAACCGCGGGGCAAACUACUGAGCUUGAGGAAGGUAGAGGCGGGUGGAACGAUAGGUGGAGCGGUGGAAUGCGUAGAGAUCUAUCGGAACGCCGAAGGUGAAGACAGCCCGCUGGGCCUUUCCUGACGCUGAGGCACGAAAGCGUGGGGAGCAAACCGG